rnacentral:rRNA from 1 species
GUUGGAGAUUUCAACGAAAUUCUAUACUCGCAUGAAAAGGAAGGAGGGGCUCCUAGGCCCGUUGGUAUGAUGCAGAAUUUCAGAGAUGCACUUGUGGAUUGCGGACUAGAGGACAUGGGUUUCACGGGGCAGUUUUCAUGGAGAAGACGGCGGCUUCAGGAACGCCUUGACAAGGCAGUUUGUAAUGGAUUGUUCCCUGGGAUGUUCCCUGACGCUCUUGUAACUAAUGCCCCUCAUAUUAAAUCUGAUCAUCGUCCGAUCGUCUUGGACUUAGAUGGCGAUGUUGGCGUGGGGUAG